rnacentral:lncRNA from 1 species
CACACUGUCUCUCUGUUGACCUCUGACCUGUUGGACUGCUGUCUUUGGGUAGAAUAUCACGUCACCUAUAUCAACAGUUUCAGUUCACUCAAAGAGAAUUUGCAGUGCUAUAAAGAGAGCUGUUCAGCUCAGGUGGAGAAGCUGGAAAAAGAAGUGGAUGGACUGACUCAGAGACUCAGACAGACCCUGAUGGAUCAUUUCAAAUCUGAGCUCAAGCCUUACAUGGAUGGCAUGAUGACAAAAAAAUGGCUGAAAACAGAUGAAGAUUUUAAAGAAGUGAUUUCUAGAGUAGAGAAUUACUCUGGGCUCUGUAAAUCCAUGAGAGCUCCAUCAGCCCAAAUUUUUGUGAAUGAUGUGCACUAUUAUGUAGCCAAAGAAUAUGUCUCCCAGUUGAUGAAGAAAAAAUAUUCAUGCAAAAAACCCAAAAACGAAGAUGCUGCCAUAAAACUGAAAGAACAGUGGAAUGAAC